ACACCAUAUUUUAAAAAAAUACAUGAUAUUUUAUUCUAUGGCAUUCUCAAGUACACUUUAAACAAAUGAAAAAUAAAGCACAUAUAUUUCAACAUCAUUGCAUAUAUAUAUAACUGUACAGUAACAUUGCAUUAAUUGUAAAAGACAAUGGAGGUUGUAGCAUUGAUUGGUACAACAAGUCAUUACUGAAUUCGAAUGUUUGGAAUGUGAGCGAUCUUUUGGAGGUUGUAGCAUUGAUUGGUACAACAAGUCAUUACUGAAUUCGAAUGUUUGGAAUGUGAGCGAUCUUGGGCCAUUCCGAGCCACUCUCCUUGGUGCAAUUUUCCUUUAAUUGGGGACACUUGUUGAUUUCAAGUCUCUGCAAUUUGGAUAGUCGUUUCAUGGCGUCCAAAGAAGGAAAGUGCAUCAAGUUGUUGCAGUUCCAAAUCUGAAGUCGUUGAAGAGAUGAGAAGUUCCCCAACCACUCUGGCAAUACUUGAACUCCAUUGAAGUUCCACAGUUCAAGAGACUUGAGGGAAGCAAGGUGCUGAAGCUGAGAUGGAAUCGACUUGAGAUUUUUCCAUCCAUAUAGUUCCAAAUAUUCUAGGGAUGCAUGGAGAUGGUGGAGUGAAGUGAGACCUUCAAAUUCCUCAAGCUGUUCUGAGAAUCCACCUAUAUGCAAUGUCUCAAGGUUGGUGAGGCAACCUAGGAUCUCUCCUGGAAGGCAAGUCAGCUUCUGGCAAGAUGUAAUUGAUAGAAAAAUAAGAGAACGCAGUUCCCCUACAUCUUGUGGAACAAAGCUCAGACUGGGGCAAUUGUGGAUGUUCAAAUUUCCAAGAGAUGCACAUGAUUCUAUCCCACUAGGCAGACAUGACAACCUUUCACAAUCCUUGAUGGUUAGAUCUGUAAGAGAAGAGAAGCCUUGUAUGCUUGGCAUGAAUCUCAAAUUCGGACAGUCGCAUAUUCUUAACUCUUUGAGACACGUAGAUAGCCCUUCCAUAGUUGGUAUAGAUCCUAAAUUCAGACAAGCUUGGAUAUGUACUUCUUUAAGACGAGAGGAGGCAGAUAGUCCAUCCCCUAAAGUACUUAUUUCACUGCAAUACGAAACUUGGAGCACCUGAAGAGAUGGAAGUUUUCUCUGUAUCGGGUCACUUUUUAACUUGGGACACCCGGAAACAAUCAACUCCUCAAGGCAAGGAAAUGCAGCCACACCUUCUCGCUCUAUUAUCACUGAAUCCAAAUCAUCUACCCAUUCUUCCAGGCUCUCCAUUUCCACUAAGAUAAAUCUUCUCAAAGCUGGAAAUGAUGUGGUUGCCUCACCCUGACCAUUGAAAUAAAAUUCACGACCUAUCCUCUUCACCUUCUUCAUUUCAUCGAUUUCAAGCACAGUUAGAUUACAUAAUUGGCCGAGACAUGGAAGAUUAAGGCAUUCCCUGCAAUUGAUUAGUUUUAACUUCACCAAAUUGUUGAGUGGAAAUGGGAGAUUAGAACCAUGUACACUACUUGACAGCCACGAAGGUAAGUCAUCUCCCCAAUAAUUCACAAUGGUUAGACCUUUCAGAUUCGAGCAAGGCUUGAGCCCUUCCAGUACUUCCUUAUCAUUUAUGGGGCAUUCUCUUUUGUAGCUCCAUUUCAGUUUUAGCUUGUACAAUUUGGUCUUUGCUUCCAUGUUUGCUCUGCUGGCUUCUGCAUUAUCUUUUACAUCUUCAAGGUUGCAUAUCUUCAAUUUUCCUCUAAGCUGGCUUAAGCAUCCAAGUUCGCUAACCAGGCAUCCCUUUUCCAUGUCCACAAAGAAGAAUGGCAACGUUUGAAGACAAGUCAAGCGUCCAAUAUCAACUGGCAUUAACUUUUCAAGAUCAAAAUAGAUAUGCCUCAGGCUAACUAGAUUUCUCAUUCCUUUAGGAAGAUGUUCUAGAGAACACUUCAAAAGUCUCAAGGUCUGCAAAUUAUAAAGCUGAGUGAAGGACUCUGGUAGUUUGGUGAUAUUAGUUGCUGAGAUGUCAAAGAAUCUUAAAUGCUUUAAUUUGCCCAAGGAACCUGGCAGUUUUUUUAUGUGAACUCCAGUUAAUUUUAGAGUCCUUAAGCUUUUGAGAUUUCCUGGAAACCUGCAAAAAAUGUCGACAUUCAAAAACAAAGAGUGCAACUUGUGUGCAGCAUGUUCUAAAAUGGUUGGCACCGAUUCCCCAUAAAAGACAACACUCAUAUGUCAAAUACAAGAAGUAUCAACCAUGGAGUUGUUAUACAAAACCUUGGUUUCUUCUUUCGAUACAAACACUGCAAGAUCAUGCACUAAAUCAUGCAUCUUACAAACUUCAAUGUUCCCAUAGGCAUCCCUUUCCACAUCUUGGAACAAGGAAUUUGAUAAGAGAGCUUUAAAUUGCAUAUUACCAAUAUCCUCCAUGGCCAUAUUCCCUUCUUUGGAUGGAUCAAGAAAUCCAUUGGCCAUCCAAAGCUGAAUCAACUGCUCCCGUUCGAUGUAAACAUCCCUGGAAAAAUUUGAACAGUAUGCAAAACACCGCUUCAAAGACGGUGAAGGCAGGCGAUCGAAGCUUAACUUUAUG
rnacentral:lncRNA from 1 species